rnacentral:misc_RNA from 1 species
ACAAACUCGAGCUUCGUUUCACGAGUCAAUAAUAGGGCUACCCUAUGUUUGAUAUUAUUCACUCAGACAUAUGAGGACCAAGUCGUGUCGAUUCAACUUUAUGAUUUCAUUAUUUUGUUACUUUCGUUGAUGAUUAUUCUCAUUGAACUUGGGUAUUUUUAAUAAAAAAAAUCAUUCUGAAUUGUUCCUUACUUUUCAAAAAAUGUGUUGAAAUCCGUAAUAAAUUUGGUGCUACAAUUAA